GAUGAAGAACGUAGCGAAAUGCGAUAAGUAGUGUGAAUUGCGGAAUUCAGUGAAUCAUCGAAUCUUUGAACGCACAUUGCGCCCCUUGGUAUUCCAUGGGGCAUGCCUGUUCGAGCGUCAUUUGUACCUUCAAGCUUUGCUUGGUGUUGGGUGUUUGUCUCGCCUUUGCGUGUAGACUCGCCUUAAAAUAAUUGGCAGCCGGCGUAUUGAUUUCGGAGCGCAGUACAUCUCGCGCUUUGCACUCAUAACGACAGCGUCCAAAAGUACAUUUUACACUCUUGACCUCGGAUCAGGUAGGGAUACCCGCUGAACUUAAGCAUAUCAAUAAGCGGAGGA
rnacentral:misc_RNA from 1 species